GAGCCAAAUUGAUUUAAAAUGCUUAAAAUAAGUAUUUUUUUCUCUUUUCACAUGAUCUGCUCAGGGGUGUAUCACAAUUCACAGAUUAUUUGCUUUAAACUGAAAAUGUGAGAUGUUUGCUAAUCUCUUGAAAAAAUGAAGCUUUUAAACAGAAAAGCUGAUGAUGAGGAGGAAAUCCUUUCUGACACUUCCUGUCUGCACACAAACUGGAGCGAAGGUUGCUGCCUACAUUUCCUGUUUCUCUGUUUCUGAUUCUCUCGAUGUGUGUCUGUGGACAAACUGCCAGCUGACCAGUCGGUUCGUUGUGUUGCGAUAUUGGCAUUUCUAUAGAUCUCCAGGAAAUGAACUUGUUUUGUGUGCAUGGUUCCUGAGGCUCACACUUUUGAUCUUCUGGUCUGGACUUCAUUGUCAGAUGCGAGCACUGCAGUCAAAAGUAAAGGCAGCUAUUCUGUUGUGUUUAGGUGAUGUUUGAAUCUACCACUGCAACAUCAACAGUCAGGGUGUGAUCUGUCUGGACAUCCUGAAGGACAACUGGAGCCCGGUGCUCACCAUCUCCAAAGUGCUGCUGUCCAUCUGCUCUCUACUCACAGACUGUAACCCAGGUAAGACAUGGCUCUGGCUCGUCUGAGAUGUUGGUAGGUGCUUGUUAGCUGGUCGUGGGCUGGAGCUCCAGUGUUUGUCAGUAUGUUGGAGCUCCAGCUGUUUGACCGAGACGACAGCAGAGCAGUUACAGGUGUGGGCAUCGAUACAGCCGCCUCAUGCUCAUGUAUGAAACUGCACACAUCACUUGUUCCUAAUGUCUGAGCCGUCUGUGUGAUUCUAAGUAAAUAUUCUAUUAGUUUUAUUUUAGGUAAAGGGAAUAAAGGCAUGGCUUUUACAGAAAACACGCAUUGGUUCUUUGAAACCUUUAAGUAAAAAGCCCUAAAACUUUUUUGUUUAAAUCUGAGGCGUUAGUGAUUACUUUCUAGUGCACGCACAUGACUACAGUGCAAAAAUGUAUCACUGGUAAUCCCAGAGUGCAUUGUGGGGGGGCUUGUCGUUUUUUUUUUUUUUUUUUUAAGCCCAGAUCUUGAUGCAUGCAGUGGUCUUUAGUUUCUUACAAUCAAAAUACUGUUUUAUGACCAUGUUAGAAUUACACUGUAUUCACCCAAAAUAUCUGGUUGUCUAACAAAUUAACAGACCUCAAAUUUAAGAAUCUAUAGCAUUGUUUUAAGUGACUUAGUAGAACUUGGUUUUUGAUUUUGUACUACAUGUUGAGCAGGAAGUUCUAAAUGCUCUAUUAAAUAGGGUUUACAGUGCUGUUAGUACUUGUUCAAGCCAUAAAACUCAAGAUUCACUUUCUUUUUUUGGCUACGUUCGCCUGAGCAUGCACUUGUAGUGUAGAGGCUGAUGAAUGCAUCUGUGGCAUUAUGUCUCAGACAUCUCUAAACAUGAGCUCAGUGCUAAUUUUGAUUCCACUAAUGAGCAAGGUCAUCGAGCUACAAAAGAAACUAGCAGUUAUGCAUUCAAAUUAGAUCAAAUUCUCCAUUGAGCUCUUUGGAGCUUCUUUGACCCCUUCCACUUUUUUUUUUUUUUUAACCGCGAAUCGCUAAAUUUCGGGGAAAUGUGGCAUCAUCAUGCUUUGCACAACGCCAUUGUUCCCUUUUUAUCAAGAUAUUUUAGGAAAAAGUUGAGUCUCCAGAUGAAAUCGAGUAAUGCAUCACAAGUACUGUGACUUUAUUUGGGGUCUCUGUGUCAUGAUUUUCCACUUAGCAGAUGCUUUUAUCCAAAGCAACUUAAAAUGAGAAGUAAUAAAACCAACUAAAGAGCCAUUCUAUGUAAGAGCGGUGACAAGUCUUGCUUGGUCUAAUACAGAUGAGCUGAUGAGGCCAUAUGUUGCUGCACUGCUGACAAGUUAUACAAGAAGUAUUUCUGUAAUGACUUUUGUAGUCUGUUAGAGGGUCCUGAAGUCUGUGCCAUGAGUGAAUUUUGCUUUUCUGUAGAUUUAGGAAAUAAAGGCAUGGCGUUUAAACAAAAGAUACUUCGACACACAAGCUCUGAUCAAUGUCAGUUUUGGACUACUGCCUUUCAAAGGCAUUUUAUAACUAACUUCCAGACCCAUAUGUAAAUGUAGUAGUUGGCUUUAUGGCCCUGAAAUACUUAAAUGCCACAGCCUUGUUUCAUUUAACUAAAUCUGGCCAAAACUGAGUUCUUACAGAGUUUUAGUUUAAAGUGGCUUAAGGUCUUUGCUUCUCAUUAAGUUUUUAAAGGCCUUUGUUUUACUUUCAGUGUUCUGCAAUUUUAACCCUUUUAAAAGUCUUUUCUCUAUGGAACAGACAACAGAACUGAAUUGUGGUGCAACUGUUUAAGUGAAGGCAGUUGAAAUUUUUUACAAAAUACUCCUCUGCACUGAUUUAAAAUGGGUAAAAAAAACAAUUCACUACUAAAUGCAUUAAACUUAUCGUUCGCUUUAAAUUUUUUCUUGACCCUGCAUGAGUUACAAGCUGCUGCGUGUGUAUCUGUGCAGGAACGACCAUUAAUUCAAGAUGGCAGCAUCCAUGACCGCACGAGCGUUUGUUUAGAGUCAUAAUUGAAUGUUUGAGUGAAGUUUUAGUUUUUUGUUAUGAAUUUUGAAAUCCGUACCGAUUGCAGAAGAAUUGCAUGGUACUUUUCUGAUUGCUCUCUGUGGUAGAGUUCGUUUGGGCAGCCUACUCCUACUUUGCUUGGGCCUGGAUCGGUGGACUCCUCUGGGCAGUUGUGGGGCAUCGACAGGUGGAAUGCUUCCUUUGAACGGAGCUGUGGAAUUUCCUCGCUGGUGACGGGAGUGGGGUUUUGGCUCUAUGUGGCCCUCUACGGAUCCGCGUGGAACAAUCUUGCACUGCCUUGUUGGGCUAUACAUUACAUUGCUUGUUGUGGUUCUCCCAUUCGUGGAAUUUGAUUGCAACAUCACAGAAUUUUUGGGGGACGUGAAGAGGCGUAUCGCUCCUGAAUGGCGUUUUUAACAGUAGCCUUUUUUGUGCUGAUCGUGGUGGGCUACACCGGAAAUAAAAAGACACCAGUGGUUUGCUCUCAAAAGGUAGGCCUAUGGAUAGACUUUUACAUCUCAUCUGGAGGAACCUCCUCGGAUCUCGUUUUUUCUGAGAAAUUACACCACUUAUUCCUUGUGACUACUGGCUCUGUUCUGUCGGACUAUAAGAACUGCUUUAUUGUCCUAAAUAUCAUUUUUACUAAUGCUUAUGAUUCUCGUUAUAUGCCUCGAAAGGCAGUGCCUUUUUUAUUUUAUUGUUGAUCUUGGGAAAUGUACAUCCUAAUCCUGGCCCUAGUAUUAAUAGCCUUAGUACUCCUGAAGACUUUAAAUCCAGGUCUGGUCUGGGUUUUAUUCACUUAAGUGCUUGUAGUUUGUUGCUAGAAAUGGAUUUGGUCAGGAUAUGGGCUACUCAAAUGCAGAUGUUGUAGUAAUUUCCGAAACCUGGCUAAAAAAAAUCUAUUUUAGAUAAGGACAUUAUGAUUAAUGGCUAGAGUUUUCCGUUGUGAUCGUUUAAAUAAGGGGGGUGGGGUUGCAAUUUAUGUUAAGACUGAAUUUAACACCAGGAUCUUAUUUUCUAAAUCUAUUGUUAAACAAUUUGAGAUCUUAGCAUUAAUAUACUGACCUUUUGGCUGUUUCAAGAUUUAAUGUUAUUGGCUGUUACAGACCCCCUUCUGCGGUUGUUGAUGCUUUGCCAAAUUUAAUGGAAUUUUUAAAUUAACUUGAUUACAUUGACACCGUUUUAGUGGGAGAUUUAAAUUGGGACUGGUUAUCCUCUCUGUGUGAUGAUUUUAAAAAUUACUGUAAUGGUUUAAAUCUUACACCGAUAAUAAAUAGUCCCACUAGAUUUAAUACAAGAAAUCCUAACAAAUCCACUCUUAUUGAUUUGUUUUUGACAAACCCAUCUCACAAAUUUUCAGAUGUAGGGGUGUUCGCAAACGAUUUGAGUGAUCACUGUGUCAUUGCAGCAGUAAGAAAUACAAAACUGCCUAAGACUAAACCUAGAAUAAUUUUAAAAGAAACUUGAGGCACUUUUGUGAGCAAGCAUUUUUGCAUGAUUUGUCUUGUUUUGAGUGGGACAGAAUUGUACUUAUUGACAAGGUGGAGCUAGCGUGGAAAUAUUUUUAUGAAGGUUUUAUUAGUAUUGUGGACAAGCAUGCUCCCUUUCAGAGGUUAAGAGUAAAGGGACGUGACAAUGCGUGGUUUACUCCGGAGCUGGCUAGUCGUCUUCGGCAGAGAAACCAAGCCUGGGCUAAAGCCAGGCAGUCCGGGACAGAUUUAGACUGGCUCAGUUUUAGACAGUUGUGUAAUCGUUGUACAUUUCUUAUUAAGAAGGCAAAAUCAGAUUUUUAUUUAGCAGCUACAAUGAAGAAUCUAAACAGUCCCCGGAUAUUCUGGAAAGUCCUGAAAUCAGGAUGUACCACAAAUUGUCAUAAUGAAUUACCUCCAUGUAUUUUUAAGGAUAAAACCGUCACAU
ensembl:lncRNA